rnacentral:rRNA from 1 species
AAAAGGUGGUAAUGCCGGAUGCUCCAGUUGACCGCAUGGUCCUCUGGGAAAGCUUUUGCGGUAUGGGAUGGGGUCGCGUCCUAUCAGCUUGAUGGCGGGGUAACGGCCCACCAUGGCUUCGACGGGUAGCCGGCCUGAGAGGGCGACCGGCCACAUUGGGACUGAGAUACGGCCCAGACUCCUACGGGAGGCAGCAGUGGGGAAUAUUGCACAAUGGGCGCAAGCCUGAUGCAGCGACGCCGCGUGCGGGAUGACGGCCUUCGGGUUGUAAACCGCUUUUGACUGGGAGCAAGCCCUUCGGGGUGAGUGUACCUUUCGAAUAAGCACCGGCUAACUACGUGCCAGCAGCCGCGGUAAUACGUAGGGUGCAAGCGUUAUCCGGAAUUAUUGGGCGUAAAGGGCUCGUAGGCGGUUCGUCGCGUCCGGUGUGAAAGUCCAUCGCUUAACGGUGGAUCCGCGCCGGGUACGGGCGGGCUUGAGUGCGGUAGGGGAGACUGGAAUUCCCGGUGUAACGGUGGAAUGUGUAGAUAUCGAC